rnacentral:lncRNA from 1 species
AUGGGGCACUGCGCCUUGCGGAAGCGCUUGGCCGAGUAGCGACCGGCGGAGUGCGGCAGGAAAGUGUAGUGCUUCAUCGACGUCACCGCGAGGUAGUCGUUCAGCGAGAUGUCGGUCACCUGCAAAACACGGCCGCCACGGUUAGCCACCGCCCAGAUCUGCGCCUCCCACUGCCGGGCCGCCGCCGCAGCGGCGGCCGUGGGAAAGGGAGGAGGGGUUGCGAGGGCGUUCUCACCUGAACAUCCUCGAAGGUCCAGCGGUUGAAGAGCUUCACGUCGCCCCCGGGCACCGGCUCCGCGACCGCCAUGGCUGAGGGUGUGGUGGGGGGAGGGGAGGUGGCGGCGGCGGUUGCAGGGGAGUUGGAAAACCUAGUGGAAUCGGCG